rnacentral:lncRNA from 1 species
CUUAGAUCUUGAUUUUCCCGUCGAUUCACCAGAUUUAUUUAUUUAAUCAAUCACAGGUGGGAAGUAUGGAACACCUGCUUGCCUGCUAUUUAUUAUAUAUUUAUAUGGAUAUUAGAACUGCAAGGGGGACGGGUCGACCCGUUGUCAAAUACGAUCUGCUCCUGGUUUAGGCGUCCGGUUCGGACUUCGGAGCGGGUCGACUGCAAGGGACACUACUACAUGAUUGAUUCGCCGUCGAGUCCCACGCUGGUAGGAUCGCUUGGCUCCUUCCUCUCGUGAUUGGAAUCUGAAUCUUGGAAGACUAGAUGUUGUGCUACUGCCCAAAAAUAGUUCGUACUGCAGAGCCUGGAUUCUAAGAUAUAUUGAAAUGAUGUGAAGAGAAAAUUCGGUAGACAUAAUAAUAAUAAUAACUUGUCAUUGUCGUGGAGUGUUUCUUCAACAUCGGUUUUUUUUUUGGUCAAUUGACAUUGCUAAUCGACAAUGUCAGACUCCAAAUUACUUCCAUCUUGUUCUCAAUUGACACAAUCAAGUCUUUUACUUCUGAAAGCAGAGUUCAUUAACACAUCACGAGUGCUACUGCUACCUAAAUAACAUGAGCAGAACUUAUACAAUACCUGCCCAAAAUUUACAUGCUCAUUCCAUUGUACCACUCAUAGUAAUCCGGGACUAAACACUAGACGAUCUGCGUAGCCAAGGUGCGUCGGCCUCGUUUUGAUGGAUCAGCUUGUGAUUCAUUUUCGGAUUGAUGGAUCAGUUUCGAUGGAUCCUGAGCGAGAAAAAAAGGAUUAUCAGUAGCUAGCUGACUUCCUUGUACUUAUCAAAGACAAUACUUUUCUUUGAAUUAUUAGUGUCAUAUACUGAUCUGUGGCGCCUCCUAUAUUUGAUGCAGAGAGUACAAGAAGCAGAAUGGCAGAUAUUCAGAAAGCAUAUGAUUCUGUAGCUGAGAUUUACAGUCAUAUGAUUCUGCUGCCAAGAGGAAGUAGCAUUUUGAAGUUGUCUAUAAAUUAUUUGUAGGAUAAAACAUUCUCAACGUCAUGUAAAUGAUAUGCUUAUUUGCUGGCCUGCAGUGGAAAUACAUUGUCUGUAAUGAAUGUUCUAAAGUAUUAAGCUAUUUGCCCUUGCUUCCUAUUUUAGUUAUGGAAAUGUUCUGUCAUUUCAGUUCUGAAUGUUUCUGAAUGUUCCUACUGAAGUAUUAAUCUCAGCUUCAACACAUUUCAGUGUGCCUGAGUGGAAGGAUAAUACUCAGUCAUUUGAUUUGCUAUUGGAAUGUGUGGUCCUUUGUCAAACAAAGUUCAGGGAUAUAGUUAUAAAAGACAAUGUUCAGGUCCCAA